AUGAUUUAUCUUUAUAUUCUAAAUAGUUUGGUUUGGAUAUAAGCUAGAAUUGCUGAUUCGCUGGAACAAACUGGAAUUGUUAUAGUUUUGUGUUUGGAUGAGUAUUAAGGUUUGUACCAGAUAUAAAAAAAAAUAGUGUUUGAAUGUAUAAAAUAAAAUAAGAAGAAUAGAUAAUAGUUAAAAGUUAAAAUGACGAUGUUACCCCUUAUGCUUAUAAUCCUAUAUAAGCAAAAUUUGAAGGUAUAUUUAAAUAGAAAUAUAGUUUGAUUUAAUUUGAUAGGAUAAAUAGUUCAAUGAAUUAAUAUAUUCUGAAAUUAAACAUAAAUUUUAUUUCAAUAUUUAUUCCGCCAUUUUUGAGUCCAUAAUAUUAAAAAUAAUUUACCCUACAAAUAAAUAUAU
rnacentral:lncRNA from 1 species